rnacentral:rRNA from 1 species
UCAAGCUAUAAAGAGCGCAAGGGGAAUGCCUUGGCAUCAGGAGCCGAUGAAGGACGUGAUAAGCUGCGAUAAGCUUCGGGGAGCUGCAAAUGAGCUGUGAUCCGGAGAUUUCCGAAUGGGGAAACCCACCGAAAGGUAUCCCAUACUGAAUCAAAUAGGUAUGGGAAGGGAACCGCCUGAACUGAAACAUCUAAGUAGGGCGAGGAAAAGACAUCAACCGAGAUUCCGCGAGUAGUGGCGAGCGAAAGCGGAUUAGGCCAAACCGGAGGUAGCAAUAUCUCCGGGGUUACGGACAGCAACAUGAAGGAAGUUUUCUAAAAGAACGGCAUGGGAAGGCCGGCCAGAGAGUGUGAGAGCCACGUAUUUGAAAGAGAACUUUUGGAUAGCUGGAUCCAGAGUACCGCGGGACACGAGGAAUCCCGUGGGAAGUCGGGGGGACCACCCUCCAAGCCUAAAUACUACCUGAUGACCGAUAGAGGAGCAGUACCGUGAGGGAAAGGUGAAAAGAACCCCGGGAGGGGAGUGAAAGAGUACCUGAAACCUUGUGCUUACAAGCAGUCAAAGCCCGUUAAGGGGUGAUGGCGUACUUUUUGUAGAACGGUCCGGCGAGUUAUAGUAACUGGCGAGGUUAAGGUAUUGAGUACCGAAGCCGAAGGGAAACCGAGUGUGAAGAGCGCGAAUGAAGUCAGUUGCCAUAGACCCGAAACCAGGUGACCUAGCCAUGACCAGGCUGAAGUGGAGGUAAAGCUCCAUGGAGGGCCGAACCCACGUUCGUUGCAAUGACCGGGGAUGAGUUGUGGCUAGCGGUGAAAUUCCAAACGAACCUGGAGAUAGCUGGUUCUCCCCGAAAUAGUUUUAGGACUAGCGUUGGCAAUGAGUUUCGCGGUGGUAAAGCACUGAAUGGGCUAGGGGGCGAUAAGCUUACUGAACCCUAUCAAACUAAGAAUGCCGCAGAAAUGCUUACCAGCAGUCAGACUACGAGUAAUAAAAUCCGUGGUCAAAAGGGAAACAGCCCAGACCCACAGCUAAGGUCCCCAAUACAUGCUAAGUGGAAAACGAUGUGAGAUUGCAGAAACAACCAGGAUGUUGGCUUAGAGGCAGCCACUCGUUCAAAGAGUGCGUAAUAGCUCACUGGUCGAGUGAUCUUGCGCGGAAAAUUUAACGGGGCUAAGCAUGUAACCGAAGCUUGGGAUUCACGAGAAAUUGUGAGUGGUAGGGGAGCGUCGAAUACGGGGUGAAGUCGCACCGGAAGGAGCGGUGGACUGUAUUCGAGUGAGAAUGCCGGAAUGAGUAGCGAGAAUUAUGUGGGAAUCAUAAUGGCCGAAAAUCUAAGGUUUCCUGGGGAAGGUUCGUCCGCCCAGGGUAAGCCGGGAGCUAAGGCGAGGCCGCAAGGCGUAGUCGAUGCACAUACGGUAGAAAUUCCGUAGCCGGUACAAUUGUUAAUCACGGUGACACAUGAGUGUAGCUCUACCGGGCGUUGGUAGCCCCGGGCGUAAGCGAGCCGAAUGAGGCGAAGUGAGUAAAGCUUGUGGCGAGAAAAGCCGUGAGGAUUGGUUGUACUGCCCGUACCGCAAACCGACACAGGUAGAUGAGGAGAAGAUCCUAAGGCCAACGGGAGAAGGGUUGUUAAGGAACUAGGCAAAUUGACCCCGUAACUUCGGAAUAAGGGGUGCCUACGAAAGUAGGUCGCAGAGAAUAGGCCCAAGCAACUGUUUACCAAAAACACAGGUCUCUGCUAAAUCGAAAGAUGACGUAUAGGGGCUGACGCCUGCCCGGUGCUGGAAGGUUAAGAGGAGAGCUUAGGGAAACCGAAGGUUCGAAUUGAAGCCCCAGUAAACGGCGGCCGUAACUAUAACGGUCCUAAGGUAGCGAAAUUCCUUGUCAGGUAAGUUCUGACCCGCACGAAAGGCGUAAUGAUUUGGGCACUGUCUCAACAGCCCGCCCGGCGAAAUUGUAGUACCGGUGAAGAUGCCGGUUACCCGCAACUAGACGGAAAGACCCCAUGGAGCUUUACUGCAGCUUAAUACUGAGAUUCGGUAAAUCAUGUACAGGAUAGGUGGGAGACUGAGAAAUCUGGCCGUCAGGUCAGAUGGAGUCGCUGUUGGGAUACCACCCUUGGUU